GGCUUAAGCCACCGUGCCCGGCCCUGGGGGCGAUGUUUGUAAGACCCUGUCUUUCAUCUCCACAUCAUCUGGGACAGAAUUAGGGUGAUCUCAAGUCUAAUCAGGUUCAUUCUAGAACAGGAUGCCUUUCAGGUUUCUUGGAGCCCUCGGCCAGCAAGACUUGACUCUUCCUUCCUGGCUGUCUCACUGUGGAUGAGUUACUCAUCUUCACGAACCUCAGUUUUCAUCCAUGAAAUGGGGAUGAUAAUAGUACCAAUCUCAUAGGAUUGUGAUGGCAGUUAAGUGAAAUGAUACAUAAGCAGCACUGGCGUACUGCCUGGCGCACAGGAAGGGACGCUCAGUUGUUCUGGGCUGUCAUGUGGUUCUGCGGCAGCAGCCAACUCUAAGUCUUCUUUGCCUCAAAACCCAUUAUUGUCUGUGUCCUGCAGAUGGGAAGACUCAGACCAGGAGCCAGGCCUGGUAUCCCAGACUCUUACCCUUUGGCAGACUGGACCAGCUUUCCCCCUUUCCUAGCACAAUGAAUGGGGAAGAGUGUGGGGUCCUGAGGCAUCUGGAGGAUUCUGGAGGGCCCAUCCGUCUCUCUUGGUGGGACAGGGCCAAAGUGCCAUUCAACACAUGGAGAAAUGGAGCGGCACUAGAGAGGUAAGGGGGCUGUUAUACACGGCUGUUUCCAUAGAAAAACCAAGACCUAUUGAUCUACAGAGAAAGCACGGAGACAGAAAAGCAGAAAGUCAAGAGAGAAGAAGCCUCAGGAUUUCCAGCCACUAGAGAAGACUCAUUGGCCUGGACAAAUCCCAGCUUCCCUCAACUUUCCUGAACCCUCCCCUUAAGUGGCUUCCAGUAAGCUCCCAAACCCUGGUGGCGCCUGCACACCCCAGGGCAAGCCAGGCUGACCUCCUCAGAGCCUGAGUCAGGGCUUUCCCCAUCUCAGCACCCAUCCCACUGAACUGGAAUUUCAAGGUCACUUGUCUGUCUCUUCCUCUGGACCUGAAGGCAGAGGCUGCAUCCAGAGCUUCCUGGAAUCCCCUACAAGGCCUGGCAUAGCGACAGGCAAAGUUUGGUGAGCCAUGCGUAAAUGGAAUCAGGCCUCUCAGUCCCCUUGUCUGCAAAAUAAGACAUGUGGGCCAGGCGAUGACUGCCAUCUCUUCCAACCUUGGGUGGGCCCCCCACCAUGUCACCAUGACCCAUUGUGUGUGUGUGCCGCAGAGUCAGGGGAGGUACCAGGUUCCUGGAUGUAACCAAAGGCCCUCAGAGCCUGGUGGACGGUCCUGCACAGUGGGAGGAGUUGGUCAUCUGGCCUCAGCUGACCCUGGCUUGUGGUUUUCACGAACUUAGGAAAAGAAAACUCAGCUUGGGGAGCUGGGCAGAGAGCAGGAGUCCCAGCCUGGUAUGGCUGCAUUAGAGUCAGGUCCCUGCAGUCCCACCAGGGAUUCCAUGAGUGCUCUCCUGCUGUCCUCUAAUGCCCAGGAGCUCAUGGUGGGGUUUGCUUUACUUCUGACUGAGGCAGAACUGCAAGCAUCUGCCCUAUUUGAUGCACAGAGAGAGUGCAACUUACUGGACUUACUGCAGGAGCCGCAACCAACAAGAGAGCAGGUGAGUGGAUCUGAUUCCCCAAUACUUUCUGCCUUUCCACCCAUCGUAGUGGAAGGAGGAGAACUCAGUGAGUUCCCGCCCUCCUACUAACCUGGCUGUGGGGGUCCAUUUCCCCUUGGGCCUCAGUUUGCUCAUGUGCUAAAUGGGGUCAGCAGUGUGCGUAAAGACAGUGCCAAGGUCGCGUCUCUUCCGCAGUGAGCCACAUGGGACAGAGGGCACAUUCCAGAGUUAGUGGCGUGUCAGAAGGCCUUGCCGCAGUGUAGGUGGGUUGGAUGGACCAUGUUCGAGGACCUUAGGAUGUCGCUGGGGGUGGUUGGACCCCACCCAGGGACUUGCCACAGGGAGAUUCUGCCUGCCACUCACUGAGUCAGCUGCUCCUGGGAGCCAUGACCAGGGGCAGGAAGGCCACAGGCCAUGAUACAAGGGCACUUAGUCACUGUCUCCCUAGGGGCACCUCUAGAGGCAGAGGCCACGCCACCCACAGACUCAGAGAAGCUCCAGAGCCAUGCACAUGGGUACUCACCCUUGCACACCUGAGGCUCACACACUGGGGUACAUAGACACAAGUACCGGAGGACAGGCAUGCCUUUCACUGGACUACACACAAACCCUCGGCCUCGCCCUGAAACACUCAGACAGCAGGAUGUGGACCCAGAGAGAAUGGGCACGGCACACGCGGCUCACAUUCAUGCCAUGCACACACUCACACAAAUACCUAAGCCGGCCCUCACACAGCCAAAGGUGCUCCUGGGUGCCCUUAACCAUGCAGGCGCAACACUGCAGGAGACACCAGUUCUUCAUUCAUUCUUCCAGCCAGCGAACAUUUGCUAAGCCCAACUGUACAACACACUUGGAAGGACAUAAGCUGUAACCCAGGAGGCAGGGGCUUGGCAUGUUCUAUCUCCCGGGAGAAGGUCCGUCCAGGGAAGCUGCUCCAUAAUUACUGGGCUAGGGAAGAUGAGUGGACACAGGGACCAUGAGCCCAGGGCCUUAGCUUGAGCCUGGUCACGUGUGGACACAAAGACAGUCGCUUACUCCCUCCCUAUUUACAUCUCAGUCCUGAGCCCAGAACCUGCACUCCACCACAGCCCUGCGGGACCUCCAGCUGGCUUUGUGUCCUGGGAUGGCUCCCCACUCGGGACCUGUGUCAGCCUCCAGGGAAGCCUCUCCCACCUACCUUACCCCAAUUUCUCCCGGACAAAAAUGCGUGUGGGGGUGAGGAGGGAAGACAAAGGGGGUGAAGGUGGGUCCAGACUGCUACCAGCACAGAAACUCUGAGAGGGUCUUUGGAAAUUGUCAACACUCCUGCAUUUCGUGCAACUAAAAUUCAGAACCCAGAGCAGAAUGGACUUCUCUAAGGCCAUGCAGGAGUAGAGAAUGCAAAGGUGGAGGCUGGGGUGAUCUACACCCGGACUGUGGGCCCCGGUCCCCACGUGUGCCACGCUAGACAUCAGUGUCAUGGUCCAAACCUCCCACAGCUUCCCAGCCUCGGUUGUGCCCUUCAGAGCCCUGGAGAGCCAGUUGUUGUGCUCUGACCUGGGUCACCAGGUCCUGUCCCUCUAGGAGGUGCAUAGGGCCAACGUCCAUGCUCGGGGACCUCCAGUUCAGAAUGAAAAUCCACUCUUAAAGAAUCCGCUUUACGAAUCCGACGAAGCGAGCACUGGCUCCCUCUCUGCCCCCAAUGUGCACCCGCGCCAGUGCUCAGCAGCCAUGACCAAGGGGUCCUCAGUACAAGUGGUGCCUUCACCCGGAAAGACAGGUACUUGGCAGUCGAUGGCGCCUCUUACCUUGCCGGUAUCUCCCAGUGACCCCCUCCUUGCCAAAAGAGCACCCUAGGAGCCGCCAAGCACCAGGGUGACACUUCCAACUGCCUCUGGAGUUCAAAUCUGAACCGGCCCGCAGCCCAGCGUGCCACCCUACACACCCCAGCCUUGGCUCCUCGGAGCCUUGCCUCUGCGUGGCUCUUCCUCACUGCUGAGCCACAACACCCUUCCAUUCCUCCCUCUCCUUGGCGCUGGCUGGUGCGGGUUGGGGUCAGGUGGAGAAGCUGGCUGGCCGUAGCUAAGGUGACAAAAUGUGCUGGGGGUGAGGGCCUGCCCAGGGCCGGUGCAACUGGUGGGAGGCCGCUGUCCCUUCCUGGACACAGUGGAAGCUUCUGCCGCAUCACUAAAUUUUUGUCAUCCUUUCUGAAGGACCUGCUUCCAGGCAGCACGCAAGUUGUUGCCCCAGGUUUAUUCCGCACCCCUGUACUGGGUGAAAAAGGAGCAUCUUGAAUGGAGAUGGGGGUGUCGCUGGUUUAUACAUCUGCAGAGGAGAGGUGUGCCGGGCUGCACCUCUGGAGGCAGCUCCCUGGAGGCCGCGGGUAACUGAUGUUAGAGAAGACCCCGGCUGCAGCUGGGAGGGCUCACAGGCUGGAGAGAGGUGCCUCCUCCUUCCAGCAAAGGGCCCUGUUUGGAAGAGCUGCUUCUCACUUGUCUAGUGGCACCGUAGGACGGUCGGCUUCCACUCGAAAUCCCCCGGACUGUAUCAUCACAUAGCCGGGUCCUCGCAGUGCUGGUUUCCCAAUCCGAUGACUGUCACCUCGGUGAGGAUGUGUGCCGACGGCUGGAGAACCCUGCGCUGCGGGCGCACAUGGCCAGGUGGCGCCUGGCAGGGGACGUCUGGGUACAGGACAGUGCUCUUACCGCCCCACCCCAAACCGUUGCCUGGGCCUAGGUCCUUCGGCUUCCUGAGCAGGGGUUUGGGGGGCUAAGGACACUGAGGCUCCGGGGGCAGGAAGUUCUCUCUGGUCAAGCGUUCUCUUUUCUCUCCAGCAUACACUCCCAUACCACCCACCUCGCCUACCCUCCGGGCCAGAGGCGCACCGAGGCAGCGCACCCUCCAUGAGUCAUCCCAAGGCCUCGGAGCCGCGGGAACUCCGGGCAACUAUCCCCCUCCUCUCCUGACCUCUGGCAUCCCAGUCUAGGGGUCUGCAGAGAAGCCCGAAGCCCGGACAAACGCGCCAGACGUCAACCACCUCUCAUCCCUGGCAGCAGCAAAGGCCAAUAUAUUUCCAUUUCUUAUUUCAGGUUGCCACCAAAACAAAGCUGCGCGUGGCUGCGGGUAGGAAGGGGCUGAGACGGAGAAGAAGGGACGUCCCGGAGAAAGUGCGCCCAGCUGAUCUUAGAAACCAGAGUCCUCGGGGGCCUCCGGGACUUCGCCGAGAUUUUCUGUAGGGCGUUUUAAUCUGUUUUCCUAUGCGGGCGGCAUCGCAGUGCGUGCGGUUCAGGGCUUGGUGACUCCGGCUUAGCCCAGUUUUCGCGGCGAGGUUCCUGGCGCAGCCGCUUGGAACUUCGCAUUAGAAUCGGGACUGCAAAUGUCCGGGCGAAAGUGUCACCCUACUCAAGAAACACUGCUGUCAGGAACAAACUGGGGUCCCCGGUGCUCCGAAGUAUCUUCUGAAAUUUUCUUAAAACAACUUACAAAAAAUGUUUUUGCUUUAACGUUUUACAAGGUUUAACGAAACACUUAAAUGGUCUGUUUCUUUACCCAGAUGGUCGUCCUAACAGUGUACACAUACAUAACAAUUCUUCCAACUUUCCUCCUCAGAGCUAAGCACUUCAUUGUACGUAAAGUAUAAUAAAGAAAAGAUUGUGCAAGA